rnacentral:rRNA from 1 species
GACGUAGGGCGCGAGCGUUGUCCGGAUUUAUUGGGCGUAAAGAGCUCGUAGGCGGCUUGUCGCGUCGUCCGUGAAAACUUGGGGCUCAACCCCAAGCUUGCGGUCGAUACGGGCAGGCUAGAGUUCGGUAGGGGAGACUGGAAUUCCUGGUGUAGCGGUGAAAUGCGCAGAUAUCAGGAGGAACACCGGUGGCGAAGGCGGAUCUCUGGGCAACAACUGACGCUGAGGAGCGAAAGCGUGGGGAGCGAACAGG